rnacentral:rRNA from 1 species
CAGGACGAACGCUGGCGGCGUGCUUCAUACAUGCAAGUCGAACGAGAAUCUCUAGCUUGCUAGAGAGGAAAGUGGCGGACGGGUGAGUAAAAUGUAGAGAAUCUGCCCUAGAGAGUGGGACAACAGAGGGAAACUUCUGCUAAUACCGCAUAUGAGCGUAGCUGAAAUGCUAUUCUUGAAAACUCCGGUGCUCUAGGAUGAGUCUGCAUCUGAUUAGCUAGUUGGCGGUGUAAUGGACCACCAAGGCGACGAUCAGUAGCUGGUUUGAGAGGAUGAUCAGCCACAAUGGGACUGAGACACGGCCCAUACUCCUACGGGAGGCAGCAGUAGGGAAUUUUGCGCAAUGGGCGAAAGCCUGAACCGCAGCAACGCCGCGUGACCGAUGAAGCCCUUCGGGGUGUAAAGGUCUGUCAGUGGGGACGAAACUUGACGGUACCCGCAGAGGAAGCAUCGGCUAACUCCGUGCCAGCAGCGGC